CGGACGGGUGAGUAACACGUGGAUAACCUACCUAUAAGACUGGGAUAACUUCGGGAAACCGGAGCUAAUACCGGAUAAUAUUUUGAACCGCAUGGUUCAAAAGUGAAAGACGGUCUUGCUGUCACUUAUAGAUGGAUCCGCGCUGCAUUAGCUAGUUGGUAAGGUAACGGCUUACCAAGGCAACGAUGCAUAGCCGACCUGAGAGGGUGAUUGGCCACACUGGAACUUAGACACGGUCCAG
rnacentral:rRNA from 1 species